AUUUCUACGAUACGGUUGUUCGAGGAACUAUAUGAGAUUAUGAGAGUUAUUAUUAUCAUUUAACUAUUUAACCCUCUAUUGAUUAACUAUUUCACAACUAUAGAUAGAAAAGAGAGGAUUUCAGUCUGCACUACCACUUCAAUUGGAUAGAAAAACGGACAGCCAAUGAAAAGAAAAAAGAAGAAAUAAAGACAUAGUAAAAUAGAAAACAAAGUCACGGGGUUUUUUUUAUUAUUUUUAUUUUGGGUUCUCAUUUUCGGUUUUUUUCACACUUUUUUUCCUUUGUGUCAAUAAAACAUGGUUACUUGAUUUCUGUCCUACUUUCAUCCUUCGAGGGAGGAAAUCAACUGCAAACAUGGUUUCCGAGCCCAAAUAGUUGCUUCGUUUUCCUGCUUCCAACUCAUGCUUUCGACCAUUCCCAUUCUUUAAGGGGCGAGUUCUUGACAUAAUGGAUCAUAGAUAAAGAGAAAAAAGAGGGGAAAAAUUCAGAACAAGGCAGGAAGGUGAAAUGUCAUAAGUAUCGAUGGGAAGACCAUGCACUCCAGAUGGAUAUAGUAAAAGAAAACGAGUUAUGCUAUUCCUGGCGUAUACAUCAAGCGAAGGUAAAUAAAAAGGGGAAGAGGUGGCAGAGAGGAGGGUGGGACGAAGCAUGACGAAGGGGAGGUAAGAAAGGAACAGGUAACACUAUUCGAAUGAAAAUAAAAACAAAAAUAAAAAUAAAACGUUACGUGAAAUAAAUAUUAAUUCGAUAUCUGUAGAGAAAGAAAUAAGUUUCUCAAGUCUUAUUCCUCGAGUCAUGUAGUCAUAAUUAAUAAGACGACGUAAGGGUCCCCGUAUCCCCAAUAUCGACCCGAACGCCGAUGCUGAUCUAAGCUUUGUUUUCAGGGCAAAAUGGAAAGUGAAACAUAUCAAGAAAAACAAUAAGAAGGCAGGGGAAUUAGGGGCAAAGGUAGAACAUAUCAUGGAGUAGCAGUUGAAUAAAACUAGCUCUGAAAUCGUUGACUCGUUUUCUCGUGGGUUCUGAAUAUAUUUAUGAACGGGAAUACCUUUAUUCACAGGUGAUGGUAAACACAUAGGUCGCUCGAGGGAAGGGGCUAAUGGUUGCAAAGGGUGGGUGGAAUAAGUAAGGGGAAGGGCAAAAGGAACAACUCAGAAGAAACAACGGAACGUGAAGACAGAAUUAUCGUUGUUAUCGAAGCAGGCCCUCAGCAAUAUCAGGGACUGACUCGUCUUGGCUAGGCUCGCUCAUCGCUUGCUGGUCUGUUUCCAGAUCUUCUGCCGUAAGACGUUGUACCCGUUCCCGUUGCGAGGCUUGCUGGGAGGAGGCGUUACCAGGAUUCCCUCGAUAGUAGACGGAGUCGUCAAAAACAUUCAAUUGCUCUAGCUCCUCAUAAUCCGG
rnacentral:sRNA from 2 species